rnacentral:rRNA from 1 species
AACGAACGCUGGCGGCAUGCCUAACACACGCAAGUCGAACGAGUACCUUCGGGUGCUAGUGGCGCACGGGUGAGUAACGCGUGGGAACCUGCCUUUCGGUACGGGAUAACGUUUGGAAACGAACGCUAAUACCGUAUAUGUCUUUGGAUGAAAGAUUUAUCGCCGGAAGAGGGGCCCGCGUCUGAUUAGGUAGUUGGUGAGGUAAUGGCUCACCAAGCCUUCGAUCAGUAGCUGGUCUGAGAGGAUGAUCAGCCACAUUGGGACUGAGACACGGCCCAGACGCCGACGGGAGGCAGCAGUGGGGAAUAUUGGACAAUGGGCGCAAGCCUGAUCCAGCAAUGCCGCGUGAGUGAUGAAGGCCUUCGGGUUGUAAAGCUCUUUUACCUGCGACGAUGAUGACGGUAGCAGGAGAAUAAGCCCCGGCUAACUUCGUGCCAGCAGCCGCCGUAACAC